GAGUUUAAUUAAUAAAUAUCGACUCUAUCAGUUCUUAUCUGCACAUGCAGCUACUGUACUCGUAAACACUAAAACAGAUGUUUUUAUCCUCAUUGUUUUCAACACUUAAAAUAACCAAGUUUAUAAAUUUAUGUUAUUGACACCUUGUAAUUGGUCAUCCACAACUCAUAACUGCAGCAAGAUGGCAGAUAUCCAGCAUGAGGGAAGCAGGUAUGUCGCUGUGAUAAUUGCACGUAUUAUUGGUCAUCACCA
rnacentral:lncRNA from 1 species